rnacentral:rRNA from 1 species
GAUGAACGCUAGCGGGAGGCCUAACACAUGCAAGUCGAACGGGAUUGGGAGCUUGCUCCCAUGAGAGUGGCGCACGGGUGAGUAACGCGUAUGCAACCUGCCUUUAACAGAGGGAUAGCCCAUAGAAAUGUGGAUUAAUACCUCAUAGUUCUUUUGUUCCGCAUGGGACAGAAGAUAAAGCUCCGGCGGUUAAAGAUGGGCAUGCGUGACAUUAGUUAGUUGGUGAGGUAACGGCUCACCAAGACUACGAUGUCUAGGGGUUCUGAGAGGAUGAUCCCCCACACUGGUACUGAGACACGGACCAGACUCCUACGGGAGGCAGCAGUGAGGAAUAUUGGUCAAUGGGCGCAAGCCUGAACCAGCCAUCCCGCGUGCAGGAUGACGGCCCUAUGGGUUGUAAACUGCUUUUAUACACCAAGAAACUUUCGGACGUGUCCGGAACUGACGGUAGUGUAUGAAUAAGCAUCGGCUAACUCCGUG